CUUCGGCGUCCUCUGUCUCGCUAGGAGCGGAGCAAAGGAGGAAGAAACCAUCGCGUCUCUGAAGAAAGACGAGAAUGCGACGAGAAAGGUUUUCGUGGCGAGCCCGUUCGUCCCUCUCCCGGCCCCGCUUCGUCCCUCUCCCGGCCCCGCGUCGUCCCUCUCCCGGCCCCGCUUCGUCCAACCACGGCGCCGCAGUUUCGCCGUCUUCGUUCCCGCCGCCUCUGGAUCUCUCUCGUCUCUCCUCACGUUCGCAGCCUCUUCGUCCGAAACCCUCCGUGCGAGACACCGCGAGAAUUCAGAGCAAGUGCCGAGGCUGGGGGGAUGUUGACGGCGACUUUGAUGCUGCCUAGGGCCGAAUCGAGAGAGAGUGUGUGUGAGGAAUUCUUCGGUCUCCCAAUUUAGUGUAGAGACGGGUGUACGGGUGAGGCAGGAUGGAAAUCGACGACUGAUUGCGUUUUUCAACGUUUUCGACGGAGGCAGCAGUGUCUUUCGAGACGAUGCACCAGCGAUAUGCAGGAGCAACGCGGAACAAAGGCACACUCUGUGCGCGUCGCCUCCCGAAAUUCAGUCGCAGUCAGACGGCUUUUUGUUGCCAACGUUCGCACUGGGAGCUCGCACCGAGGCAGACAAAGAUUCGGCGCUACCAGAGAUUGCUGUUCAUCUGGGCGAAGAGCGCUACAACUGUCACGGGGAGGGUAGAUGCCCACGGGGAAUUGGGUGUUGGGCGGAGACUGGAAUGCCCCGUGUCCUUUUCCC
rnacentral:lncRNA from 1 species